rnacentral:rRNA from 1 species
GCUAGCGUUGCUCGGAAUCACUGGGCGUAAAGGGUGCGUAGGCGGUUUUUUAAGUCUGGGGUGAAAUCCUGGAGCUCAACUCCAGAACUGCCUUUGAUACUGAGUAUCUUGAGUUCGGGAGAGGUGAGUGGAACUGCGAGUGUAGAGGUGAAAUUCGUAGAUAUUCGCAAGAACACCAGUGGCGAAGGCGGCUCACUGGCCCGAUACUGACGCUGAGGCACGAAAGCGUGGGGAGCAAACAGG